AGGGGAGGCCUAUAGUGCAGUCGACGAGUUCUGAUUAUUGAAGGUGCUUGGAUCUUGAUUUAAUUUUGAACGAGUGGCGGACGGGUGAAUAACACGUGGGUAACCUGCCCUUAAGUGGGGGAUAACAUUUGGAAACAGAUGCUAAUACCGCAUAAAUCCAAGAACCGCAUGGUUCUUGGCUGAAAGAUGGCGUAAGCUAUCGCUUUUGGAUGGACCCGCGGCGUAUUAGCUAGUUGGUGAGGUAACGGCUCACCAAGGCAAUGAUACGUAGCCGAACUGAGAGGUUGAUCGGCCACAUUGGGACUGAGACACGGCCCAAACUCCUACGGGAGGCAGCAGUAGGGAAUCUUCCACAAUGGACGCAAGUCUGAUGGAGCAACGCCGCGUGAGUGAAGAAGGCUUUCGGGUCGUAAAACUCUGUUGUUGGAGAAGAAUGGUCGGCAGAGUAACUGUUGUCGGCGUGACGGUAUCCAACCAGAAAGCCACGGCUAACUACGUGCCAGCAGCCGCGGUAAUACGUAGGUGGCAAGCGUUAUCCGGAUUUAUUGGGCGUAAAGCGAGCGCAGGCGGUUUUUUAAGUCUGAUGUGAAAGCCCUCGGCUUAACCGAGGAAGUGCAUCGGAAACUGGGAAACUUGAGUGCAGAAGAGGACAGUGGAACUCCAUGUGUAGCGGUGAAAUGCGUAGAUAUAUGGAAGAACACCAGUGGCGAAGGCGGCUGUCUGGUCUGUAACUGACGCUGAGGCUCGAAAGCAUGGGUAGCGAACAGGAUUAGAUACCCUGGUAGUCCAUGCCGUAAACGAUGAAUGCUAGGUGUUGGAGGGUUUCCGCCCUUCAGUGCCGCAGCUAACGCAUUAAGCAUUCCGCCUGGGGAGUACGACCGCAAGGUUGAAACUCAAAGGAAUUGACGGGGGCCCGCACAAGCGGUGGAGCAUGUGGUUUAAUUCGAAGCAACGCGAAGAACCUUACCAGGUCUUGACAUCUUUUGAUCACCUGAGAGAUCAGGUUUCCCCUUCGGGGGCAAAAUGACAGGUGGUGCAUGGUUGUCGUCAGCUCGUGUCGUGAGAUGUUGGGUUAAGUCCCGCAACGAGCGCAACCCUUAUGACUAGUUGCCAGCAUUUAGUUGGGCACUCUAGUAAGACUGCCGGUGACAAACCGGAGGAAGGUGGGGAUGACGUCAAAUCAUCAUGCCCCUUAUGACCUGGGCUACACACGUGCUACAAUGGAUGGUACAACGAGUUGCGAGACCGCGAGGUCAAGCUAAUCUCUUAAAGCCAUUCUCAGUUCGGACUGUAGGCUGCAACUCGCCUACACGAAGUCGGAAUCGCUAGUAAUCGCGGAUCAGCACGCCGCGGUGAAUACGUUCCCGGGCCUUGUACACACCGCCCGUCACACCAUGAGAGUUUGUAACACCCGAAGCCGGUGGCGUAACCCUUUAGGAGCGAGCCUCUAAACCUA
rnacentral:rRNA from 1 species